rnacentral:rRNA from 1 species
CCUACGGGGGGCAGCAGUGGGGAAUAUUGGGCAAUGGGCGCAAGCCUGACCCAGCAACGCCGCGUGAAGGAAGAAGGCUUUCGGGUUGUAAACUUCUUUUGUCAGGGACGAAGCAAGUGACGGUACCUGACGCAUAAGCCACGGCUAACUAAGUGCCAGCAGCCGCGGUAAUACGUAGGUGGCAAGCGUUAUCCGGAUUUACUGGGUGUAAAGGGAGUGUAGGCGGGACUGCAAGUCAGAUGUGAAAACCACGGGCUCAACCUGUGGCCUGCAUUUGAAACUGUAGUUCUUGAGUACUGGAGAGGCAGACGGAAUUCCUAGUGUAGCGGUGAAAUGCGUAGAUAUUAGGAGGAACACCAGUGGCGAAGGCGGGCUGCUGGACAGCAACUGACGCUGAGGCGCGAAAGCGUGGGGAGUAAACAGGAUUAGAUACCCGUGUAGUC